rnacentral:misc_RNA from 1 species
AUCCCUCAACCUCUACAUUUUCUUGUAAGAUGUGCGAGCGUUGGAUGCUGAGCGUUGCUGUUCUCACCGACAGCUCGCUUCAAAUGCAGUAGCAAUCUUGAUAGUGAUCGGAUUGACCCGACGUGAUAAGAUCUUCGUUGGGGAUGCCCUAGUCAGCAGCCGACCGUUAUGACAAGCAGCUUCCAAACCCUGUAGUGCGCUUUCUUGCGCUCACAACCCCAUAAA